rnacentral:tRNA from 1 species
UGCAUCCGCCGGGAAUCGAACCCGGGCCGCCCACGUGGCAGGCGAGCAUUCUACCACUGAACCACCGAUGG